AAUAUUUACAUUCUAAUUCAGA
rnacentral:snRNA from 1 species